AUGAACGCUGGCGGCGUGCCUAAUACAUGCAAGUCGAGUGAACAGAUGAGGAGCUUGCUCCUCUGACGUUAGCGGCGGACGGGUGAGUAACACGUGGAUAACCUACCUAUAAGACUGGGAUAACUUCGGGAAACCGGAGCUAAUACCGGAUAAUAUAUUGAACCGCAUGGUUCAAUAGUGAAAGACGGUUUUGCUGUCACUUAUAGAUGGAUCCGCGCCGCAUUAGCUAGUUGGUAAGGUAACGGCUUACCAAGGCAACGAUGCGUAGCCGACCUGAGAGGGUGAUCGGCCACACUGGAACUGAGACACGGUCCAGACUCCUACGGGAGGCAGCAGUAGGGAAUCUUCCGCAAUGGGCGAAAGCCUGACGGAGCAACGCCGCGUGAGUGAUGAAGGUCUUCGGAUCGUAAAACUCUGUUAUUAGGGAAGAACAAAUGUGUAAGUAACUAUGCACGUCUUGACGGUACCUAAUCAGAAAGCCACGGCUAACUACGUG
rnacentral:rRNA from 1 species